GUCGAAUGACUCUGCGCCGAUAAUUUACCGGGGCUAAGCAUACUACCGAAGCUAUGGAUCCCAAGGGAUGGUAGGGGAGCGUUCCAUGAACGGAGAAGUACGACCGAAAGGACGUGUGGAGAUCAUGGAAGAGAGAAUGCCGGUGUGAGUAGCGGAACGUGGGUGAGAAUCCCACGCACCGAAAACCCAAGGUUUCCAGAGGAAGGUUCGUCCGCUCUGGGUAAGUCGGGACCUAAGGCGAGGCCGAAAGGCGUAGUCGAUGGACAACAGGUAGAGAUUCCUGUACCCGUAUAUAUGUGAAGGAAUGACGGAGAGAGGAAGCUGCAGCCAGCGGCUGGAAGAGCUGGUGCAAGCGAGAUAUCGGGAUGGCAGGCAAAUCCACCAUCCGAAACGAGAAGGCGUGAAGCGUACGGAAAGCUACGGCGAGUACGGAAGGCAGUGGAGGAACUUCCAAGAAAAGUUUCUAACGUUAAGUAUAUAUGGCCCGUACCGAAAAUGGACACACAUGGGUGAGGAGAGAAUCCUAAGGUGAGCGAGAGAACUAUAGCUAAGGAACUCUGCAAAAUGACUCCGUAACUUAGGGAGAAGGAGUGCUCAUAGAGAUAUGAGCCGCAGUGAAACGGCCCAAGCGACUGUUUACCAAAAACACAGCUCUCUGCUAAGCCGCAAGGCGAAGUAUAGGGGGUGACGCCUGCCCGGUGCUGGAAGGUUAAGGGGAGGGGUUAACGCAAGUGAAGCCCUGAACUGAAGCCCCAGUAAACGGCGGCCGUAACUAUAACGGUCCUAAGGUAGCGAAAUUCCUUGUCAGGUAAGUUCUGACCCGCACGAAAGGCGUAACGAUUUGGGCGCUGUCUCAGCUGUAGACUCGGUGAAGUCUUAGUACCUGUGAAGAUGCAGGUUACCCGCGACUAGACGGAAAGACCCCAUGGAGCUUCACUGCAGGUUGAUAUUGGGAUUUGAUGCAGCAUGUACAGGAUAGGUAGGAGGCAAAGAGAUGGAUACGCCAGUAUUCAAGGAGCCGCUGUUGGGAUACUACCCCUGUUGUAUUGGAUUUCUAACCGGACGACGUAGAGCCGUUGACGGGACAGUGUCAGUCGGGCAGUUUGACUGGGGCGGUCGCCUCCCAAAGAGUAACGGAGGCGCCCAAAGAUACCCUCAGCUUGGAUGGAAACCAAGCGCAGAGUGCAAAGGCAAAAGGGUGUUUGACUGCGAGACCCACAAGUCGAGCAGGGACGAAAGUCGGGCUUAGUGAUCCGGCGGUGCUGAAUGGAAAGGCCGUCGCUCAACGGAUAAAAGCUACCCUGGGGAUAACAGGCUGAUCUCCCCCAAGAGUUCACAUCGACGGGGAGGUUUGGCACCUCGAUGUCGGCUCAUCGCAUCCUGGAGCUGAAGUCGGUUCCAAGGGUUGGGCUGUUCGCCCAUUAAAGCGGUACGCGAGCUGGGUUCAGAACGUCGUGAGACAGUUCGGUCCCUAUCUGUCGUGGGCGCAGGAAAUUUGAGAAGAGCUGUCCUCAGUACGAGAGGACCGGGAUGGACGCAUCAAUGGUGGACCAGUUGUCACGCCAGUGGCAUAGCUGGGUAGCUAAAUGCGGAAGGGAUAAACGCUGAAGGCAUCUAAGUGUGAAACCCACUUCAAGAUGAGAUUUCCCAUUGC
rnacentral:rRNA from 1 species